GCUCUGCUUGCUUCAGCAGGACAUAUACUAAAAUAGAAGCUCUACAAAGAAAAUUAACAUGGCCCCUGUGCAAGAAUGACACAAAAAUUUGUGAAAUAUUUCAUAUAUUA
ensembl:snRNA U6 U6 spliceosomal RNA